rnacentral:rRNA from 1 species
AUUGAACGCUGGCGGCAUGCCUUACACAUGCAAGUCGAACGGUAACAGGUCUUCGGAUGCUGACGAGUGGCGAACGGGUGAGUAAUACAUCGGAACGUGCCUAGUAGUGGGGGAUAACUACUCGAAAGAGUGGCUAAUACCGCAUGAGAUCUACGGAUGAAAGCAGGGGAUCGCAAGACCUUGUGCUACUAGAGCGGCCGAUGGCAGAUUAGGUAGUUGGUGGGAUAAAAGCUUACCAAGCCGACGAUCUGUAGCUGAUCUGAGAGGACGAUCAGCCACACUGGGACUGAGACACGGACCAGACUCCGACGGGAGGCAGCAGUGGGGAAUUUUGGACAAUGGGCGCAAGCCUGAUCCAGCAAUGCCGCGUGCAGGAUGAAGGCCUUCGGGUUGUAAACUGCUAUUGUACGGAACGGAAAGCCCUGGGUUAAUACCCUGGGGUCAUGACGGUACCGUAAGAAUAAGCACCGGCUAACUACGUGCCAGCCGCCGCAGUAAAAC